AUCUAACAGAUUGAACAUGUUUAUUUUUUUCUUAAACCAAAAUCACAUCAGAUGUUUUUUGUUGAUUUUUGUUAUGUAUAAAAUCAAGUUUCCGGGUUUUUCUUAAUCAUCUAUUCCACAUUUAUCGCAGUUAAUGAUUUUGGUUGUUGUAUUUUUCAUGUGGUUCCUUACAUCCGUUAUAACAAUCUGAAUCCCACCAUUCGUCAAGCAACAAAGUUAUAGAGAUUUAUUUCUGAACCGAGUCUGUCCUCCAUAGUUUUUUCUGAUAUCCGACCAUAAAUCUUGAAGGUAAAUGGGGAUAUCUACAAAUUUUGAUGGUACACGACU